rnacentral:rRNA from 1 species
AUUGAACGCUGGAGGCAUGCCUUAAACAUGCAAGUCGAACGGUAACAGGUCUUAGGAUGCUGACGAGUGGCGAACGGGUGAGUAAUACAUCGGAACGUGCCUAGUAGUGGGGGAUAACUACUCGAAAGAGUGGCUAAUACCGCAUGAGAUCUACGGAGGAAAGCAGGGGAUCGCAAGACGUUGUGCUACUAGAGCGGCCGAUGGCAGCUUAGGUAGUAGGUGGGAUAAAAGCUUACCAAGCCGACGAUCUGUAGCUGGUCUGAGAGGACGAUCAGACACACUUGGAGUGAGAAACAGACCAGAAUCCUACGGGAGGCAGCAGUGGGGAAUGUUGGACAAUGGCCGAAAGCCUGAUCCAGCAAUGCCGAGUGCAGGAUGAAGGCCUUCGGGUUGUAAACAGCUUUUGUACGGAACGAAAAGCCCUGGAUUAAUACCCUGGGGUCAUGACGGUACCGUAAGAAUAAGCGCCUGCUAUCUACGUGCCAGCCGCCGCAGUAA